rnacentral:rRNA from 1 species
AGCAGAGAUGCUUUGGUGCCUUCGGGAACUCUGAGACAGGUGCUGCAUGGCUGUCGUCAGCUCGUGUUGUGAAAUGUUGGGUUAAGUCCCGCAACGAGCGCAACCCUUAUCCUUUGUUGCCAGCGGUCCGGCCGGGAACUCAAAGGAGACUGCCAGUGAUAAACUGGAGGAAGGUGGGGAUGACGUCAAGUCAUCAUGGCCCUUACGAGUAGGGCUACACACGUGCUACAAUGGCGCAUACAAAGAGAAGCGACCUCGCGAGAGCAAGCGGACCUCAUAAAGUGCGUCGUAGUCCGGAUUGGAGUCUGCAACUCGACUCCAUGAAGUCGGAAUCGCUAGUAAUCGUGGAUCAGAAUGCCACGGUGAAUACGUUCCCGGGCCUUGUACACACCGCCCGUCACACCAUGGGAGUGGGUUGCAAAAGAAGUAGGUAGCUUAACCUUCGGGAGGGCGCUUACCACUUUGUGAUUCAUGACUGGGGUGAAGUCGUAACAAGGUAACCGUAGGGGAACCUGCGGUUGGAUCACCUCCUUA